GAUGAACGCUGGCGGCGUGCCUAAUACAUGCAAGUCGAGCGAAUGGAUUGAGAGCUUGCUCUUAUGAAGUUAGCGGCGGACGGGUGAGUAACACGUGGGUAACCUGCCCAUAAGACUGGGAUAACUCCGGGAAACCGGGGCUAAUACCGGAUAACAUUUUGAACCGCAUGGUUCGAAAUUGAAAGGCGGCUUCGGCUGUCACUUAUGGAUGGACCCGCGUCGCAUUAGCUAGUUGGUGGGGUAACGGCUCACCAAGGCAACGAUGCGUAGCCGACCUGAGAGGGUGAUCGGCCACACUGGGACUGAGACACGGCCCAGACUCCUACGGGAGGCAGCAGUAGGGAAUCUUCCGCAAUGGACGAAAGUCUGACGGAGCAACGCCGCGUGAGUGAUGAAGGCUUUCGGGUCGUAAAACUCUGUUGUUAGGGAAGGACAAGUGCUAGUUGAAUAAGCUGGCACCUUGACGGUACCUAACCAGAAAGCCACGGCUAACUACGUGCCAGCCGCCGCGGUAA
rnacentral:rRNA from 1 species